rnacentral:lncRNA from 1 species
GUCGUAUAGCAUGAUUUGCUAUCUAAGAAUAUAAUAGGUAUCUAGCUGUAGAGAGUAUAGCUUAAACCUUUAUAUGAUUCUUAUCUUAGCUUCCAAAACUCCUUUAUUUUUGUAUAAAACUCCAAAUAUAACAAAAUCCCUUCAAAACAUAUUUUUCCUGUGAAGGAUUUUUUUGCCCCAAACUUAAAAAAAUCAUAACUAUUGAUCUAACCAUUCAAUUUGUCUCAAAUUUACAAGAUAGGUAAAAUUCACCCUUAACUUUUACCACAAAAAAACCAACUACAAAUUCACUCCCGAUC